UACGUAGGGUGCAAGCGUUGUCCGGAAUUAUUGGGCGUAAAGAGCUCGUAGGCGGUCUGUCGCGUCGGAUGUGAAAAUCCAGGGCUUAACCCUGGGCCUGCAUUCGAUACGGGCAGACUAGAGUUCGGUAGGGGAGACUGGAAUUCCUGGUGUAGCGGUGAAAUGCGCAGAUAUCAGGAGGAACAUCGGUGGCGAAGGCGGGUCUCUAGGCCGACACUGACGCUGAGGAGCGAAAGCAUGGGGAGCGAACAGG
rnacentral:rRNA from 1 species